rnacentral:rRNA from 1 species
AUUGAACGCUGGCGGCAUGCUUUACACAUACAAGUCGAACGGUAACAGGCCGCAAGGUGCUGACGAGUGGCGAACGGGUGAGUAAUGCAUCGGAACGUGCCCAGUCGUGGGGGAUAACGCAGCGAAAGCUGCGCUAAUACCGCAUACGAUCUAUGGAUGAAAGCGGGGGACCGUAAGGCCUCGCGCGAUUGGAGCGGCCGAUGUCAGAUUAGGUAGUUGGUGGGGUAAAGGCUCACCAAGCCGACGAUCUGUAGCUGGUCUGAGAGGACGACCAGCCACACUGGGACUGAGACACGGCCCAGACUCCUAUGGGAGGCAGCAGUGGGGAAUUUUGGACAAUGGGCGCAAGCCUGAUCCAGCAAUGCCGCGUGCAGGAAGAAGGCCUUCGGGUUGUAAACUGCUUUUGUACGGAACGAAACGGCUCUGGUUAAUACCUGGGGCUAAUGACGGUACCGUAAGAAUAAGCACCGGCUAACUACGUGCCAGCCGCCGCAGUAAGAC